AGCGAAAUGUACCAGUUUUCAAACAUGCGCCUUUGUUAGGAACAAAACAAUUAAAACCAACUUAAAAACACAAGAGGUGGAAAUAAUAAAAUGUGAAGUUGUAACUACUACAGACAUCAGUGAAUUUGUGUAAAGACUAGGUCGAUGUAAUCUAAACAUUUAUACCACGUACAUAAGAAAAUUCGUGCGAAAGACAGGCCAAGAUUAUUUAAAUAUAUCUACCGCAUUUAUCAGGGAAUAUAGCGAAUAACAAGACAUUUGCCUUACAUGUAGGUUCAUACACAGGUUGAAUAACCAACGGAUCACACGCGAUUGGUUAAGCCGACUGAAGGGUUUUAAAACAGCCAGAGUUCAGUAUGUCGUAUAUAGGCCUUGCCUUACAACUCCUCACCUGUUGCUGUAAACUUGUCGAACAUUAUCAAAAACGGAACGCAGAGGACGAUGCAGCUGUUCCAUCUUCAAACAUGCCUGCGUCAUCACGUGUUCAUCCCUUAGAUCAAGAAACAAACGGGGAAAACCCUCCGACGCUGUUCGAAAGUCCUACCGAACCAACAGAUGGUACAGUUGCCGAAGUGUGUUGACAGGCCUGCAUGUCAUUAACAAUUGGCAGUAUCUACACGCGGCGAACACUAUUUAAAUUAUUCCUUAUCAUUUAAUGUAUAUACAA